UACAGAGGUCUCGAGCGUUAGGCGGAAUCACUGGGCUUAAAGCGUGUGUAGGCGGAUUGCUAAGUACCUUGUGAAAUCCCACGGCUUAACCGUGGAACUGCUUGGUAUACUGGCUGUCUUGAGCCACUUAGGGGCAACCGGAACAAACGGUGGAGCGGUGAAAUGCGUAGAUAUCGUUUGAAACGCCAAUGGUGAAAACAGGUUGCUGGGAGUGUGCUGACGCUGAGACACGAAAGCCAGGGGAGCAAACGGG
rnacentral:rRNA from 1 species